ACUUGCAGACUGGAUAACUUCGACAAAAAAACUACAGUAGGUUAUAAUCUACUAUGAAUAAAACCAUAGUAUGAAUGUUGGUUUUUUAAAUAGUACUUGCUUGUAUAGAAAAAAGGUUGGGAAUCUAGAAAUAUUUUUCAAGUUUUAGGUUAGAUUUACCUACCUACCACCACCAAAAAGUAAGCCGGUUUUUAAGGUACAUAUCCAGUGGUGUAGUUGAUAAUGUUUUAUAGGGUGUGGAAGGAAAUCAAAAUAAAUCACUCCUCUCACCUAUGUUUAACAACUUAUCAGUCAGCACAUAUAAAUAAAGUUUUUUUAUAUUACAUAGUUAUCAAAUAUAUUUCAUUCCAAUUAUUUAGGAACAUAAAAUACUGAAAUACUCCCCGGAUUUAAAGGUUUAACUAAAGUCGGAAAAUUUGUAAGAACUCUUUGGCAUUUCUGUUUGGUUCACCGAAUGAAAAUUACAUUAAAACUAUAAAAAUAACUAAAUAGCUCAAAAAUGGCACAAAUGUUUUUAAAAUGUUACCUUGACUAUAAAAAACAAAUACCUAUAUCAUGUUUUCUGUCAAAAGUUUCUACAAAUAUUUUCCCAGU